rnacentral:rRNA from 1 species
GAUUAAGUUAUUAAGGGCGCACGGUGGAUGCCUUGGCACUAGAAGCCGAUGAAGGACGUUACUAACGACGAUAUGCUUUGGGGAGCUGUAAGUAAGCUUUGAUCCAGAGAUUUCCGAAUGGGGAAACCCAGCAUGAGUUAUGUCAUGUUAUCGAUAUGUGAAUACAUAGCAUAUCAGAAGGCACACCCGGAGAACUGAAACAUCUUAGUACCCGGAGGAAGAGAAAGAAAAUUCGAUUCCCUUAGUAGCGGCGAGCGAAACGGGAAGAGCCCAAACCAACAAGCUUGCUUGUUGGGGUUGUAGGACACUCUAUACGGAGUUACAAAGGACGACAUUAGACGAAUCAUCUGGAAAGAUGAAUCAAAGAAGGUAAUAAUCCUGUAGUCGAAAAUGUUGUCUCUCUUGAGUGGAUCCUGAGUACGACGGAGCACGUGAAAUUCCGUCGGAAUCUGGGAGGACCAUCUCCUAAGGCUAAAUACUCUCUAGUGACCGAUAGUGAACCAGUACCGUGAGGGAAAGGUGAAAAGCACCCCGGAAGGGGAGUGAAAUAGAACCUGAAACCGUGUGCUUACAAGUAGUCAGAGCCCGUUAAUGGGUGAUGGCGUGCCUUUUGUAGAAUGAACCGGCGAGUUACGAUUUGAUGCAAGGUUAAGCAGUAAAUGUGGAGCCGUAGCGAAAGCGAGUCUGAAUAGGGCGUUUAGUAUUUGGUCGUAGACCCGAAACCAGGUGAUCUACCCUUGGUCAGGUUGAAGUUCAGGUAACACUGAAUGGAGGACCGAACCGACUUACGUUGAAAAGUGAGCGGAUGAACUGAGGGUAGCGGAGAAAUUCCAAUCGAACCUGGAGAUAGCUGGUUCUCUCCGAAAUAGCUUUAGGGCUAGCCUCAAGUGAUGAUUAUUGGAGGUAGAGCACUGUUUGGACGAGGGGCCCCUCUCGGGUUACCGAAUUCAGACAAACUCCGAAUGCCAAUUAAUUUAACUUGGGAGUCAGAACAUGGGUGAUAAGGUCCGUGUUCGAAAGGGAAACAGCCCAGACCACCAGCUAAGGUCCCAAAAUAUAUGUUAAGUGGAAAAGGAUGUGGCGUUGCCCAGACAACUAGGAUGUUGGCUUAGAAGCAGCCAUCAUUUAAAGAGUGCGUAAUAGCUCACUAGUCGAGUGACACUGCGCCGAAAAUGUACCGGGGCUAAACAUAUUACCGAAGCUGUGGAUUGUCCUUUGGACAAUGGUAGGAGAGCGUUCUAAGGGCGUUGAAGCAUGAUCGCAAGGACAUGUGGAGCGCUUAGAAGUGAGAAUGCGGUGUGAGUAGCGAAAGACGGGUGAGAAUCCCGUCCACCGAUUGACUAAGGUUUCCAGAGGAAGGCUCGUCCGCUCUGGGUUAGUCGGGUCCUAAGCUGAGGCCGACAGGCGUAGGCGAUGGAUAACAGGUUGAUAUUCCUGUACCACCUAUAAUCGUUUUAAUCGAUGGGGGACGCAGUAGGAUAGGCGAAGCGUGCGAUUGGAUUGCACGUCUAAGCAGUAAGGCUGAGUAUCUUCGAGUCGUUGAUUUCACACUGCCGAGAAAAGCCUCUAGAUAGAAAAUAGGUGCCCGUACCGCAAACCGACACAGGUAGUCAAGAUGAGAAUUCUAAGGUGAGCGAGCGAACUCUCGUUAAGGAACUCGGCAAAAUGACCCCGUAACUUCGGGAGAAGGGGUGCUCUUUAGGGUUAACGCCCAGAAGAGCCGCAGUGAAUAGGCCCAAGCGACUGUUUAUCAAAAACACAGGUCUCUGCUAAACCGUAAGGUGAUGUAUAGGGGCUGACGCCUGCCCGGUGCUGGAAGGUUAAGAGGAGUGGUUAGCUUCUGCGAAGCUACGAAUCGAAGCCCCAGUAAACGGCGGCCGUAACUAUAACGGUCCUAAGGUAGCGAAAUUCCUUGUCGGGUAAGUUCCGACCCGCACGAAAGGCGUAACGAUUUGGGCACUGUCUCAACGAGAGACUCGGUGAAAUCAUAGUACCUGUGAAGAUGCAGGUUACCCGCGACAGGACGGAAAGACCCCGUGGAGCUUUACUGUAGCCUGAUAUUGAAAUUCGGCACAGCUUGUACAGGAUAGGUAGGAGCCUUUGAAACGUGAGCGCUAGCUUACGUGGAGGCGCUGGUGGGAUACUACCCUAGCUGUGUUGGCUUUCUAACCCGCACCACUUAUCGUGGUGGGAGACAGUGUCAGGCGGGCAGUUUGACUGGGGCGGUCGCCUCCUAAAAGGUAACGGAGGCGCUCAAAGGUUCCCUCAGAAUGGUUGGAAAUCAUUCAUAGAGUGUAAAGGCAUAAGGGAGCUUGACUGCGAGACCUACAAGUCGAGCAGGGUCGAAAGACGGACUUAGUGAUCCGGUGGUUCCGCAUGGAAGGGCCAUCGCUCAACGGAUAAAAGCUACCCCGGGGAUAACAGGCUUAUCUCCCCCAAGAGUUCACAUCGACGGGGAGGUUUGGCACCUCGAUGUCGGCUCAUCGCAUCCUGGGGCUGUAGUCGGUCCCAAGGGUUGGGCUGUUCGCCCAUUAAAGCGGUACGCGAGCUGGGUUCAGAACGUCGUGAGACAGUUCGGUCCCUAUCCGUCGUGGGCGUAGGAAAUUUGAGAGGAGCUGUCCUUAGUACGAGAGGACCGGGAUGGACAUACCUCUGGUGUACCAGUUGUCGUGCCAACGGCAUAGCUGGGUAGCUAUGUGUGGACGGGAUAAGUGCUGAAAGCAUCUAAGCAUGAAGCCCCCCUCAAGAUGAGAUUUCCCAACUUCGGUUAUAAGAUCCCUCAAAGAUGAUGAGGUUAAUAGGUUCGAGGUGGAAGCAUGGUGACAUGUGGAGCUGACGAAUACUAAUCGAUCGAAGACUUAAUCAA